UGUCUGAUUAUUUAUAAUACCUAGAUAGGAGGUUAUUUAUAACACCUACAAUUGAUUUAAAAUACCCAAGUGUUUAUGCUAGAUUGGAGGUUAUUUAUAGAGUGAUAACCUCCAAUCUAGAGUGAUGCCAUCACUUGGCAUAGCCUUCGCUUAUGUGAUUUCAAGUCAGUUCUUGACUACAACUUGGAAGCACUUCGCAUUAAAUCCUUAAUGGAAUUCUGUGGUAAAGAGAUCACAGAUGCGAUAUUGAUUGAGAAGCAGGGAGUCACGGACGUUGCCAAAUCUUUCUUCGAGUAAGACCCACAGCCUUCUGGGGUGUUCUUCAUUCAUACACUCGUACUAGAGCGAAUCAUCCAUAUGACAAGUCAUUGGGGAGCCAAGGAAAAUUUACUGACGGGCCUUGCCUCCCAUCCGAUGGACCUUGCCUCUUAUCUUGUCCACUUAAUAUGAUUCUUGUGUAAAUAGAUAUAAACGGUACAAGAGAGAGACUUGUCUCCAAUGUGAGAUCAUUAUCUCACAAUUUCCAAAUAAGAUUCUAACAGCUCAUAAGCUAGCAAAAGGUGUGGCUCAUGGGCUAUCGUCGACAUCGGGUGAAGUAACAUUGAUAUUGAAUGUGAUAAGCCUUCGGUGGCUGCUGUCCAUAGAGAUGUUGUCGACACUAAAAUGAUGGGACAAAUUGUCGAGGACAUCAAAACUCGCUCAACCGUUCUUCCAUAUAUUUCGUCCAUCUUUACAUUUCUGGUAGGUUUUACAAGUUAAAUGCAUUGUUCUGUAAGUUAAUUUACUGACCCUCUCUCUCUCUCUCUCAGUUUACCAGUUAAUAAUUUCUUGUUUUGUCAAGUUCUACAAUAGUUAUUGGGAGUGCAAGUACAACAAUUUUGGCAAGUUCGACGGUACUUAUCUCUUGGUCAGUCUUGAGUCUUGUUUGUGUUGGAGACCAUAUUGGCACUCUUGGCGAUCAGAAAGAAAUAGAAAAGGGCAUCUCAAUUUAGGCCAGGUUAUGACUAGCAUUAGAAUAAGUAAUAUAGGGCUGCAAUAUUUACAGAUCUAAAGAUCAGAGCUAGCUUGGGCAAUGUAGAUACCAGAUAUCCAAACUUCUACUCUUGAUUUUCAUUAUAUAGAAACAACACUUUAUAAAUUACAACCAUACAUACGACUCAUGAUAGUCUCGGUGUCUGAAAAUGCUGACAUCCAACAAGGACCACUUUAUUUUCCAUAAGAACUAAUAGCUAGCAGUGCCUUGAAAGUACAAAUUAAGUAGCAUAUAUAGCACAUACCAAUAUAUGCAAAUUAACCAACUCUCUGUAAUCCC